rnacentral:rRNA from 1 species
GAUGAACGCUGGCGGCGUGCCUAAUGCAUGCAAGUCGAGCGACGCAUACCGGAGGGGUAACCCACUGGUAUGACGGAGCGGCGAACGGGUGAGUAACACGUGAGCAACCUGCCCCACAGACCGGGACAGCCCAGGGAAACCUGGAUUAAUACCGGAUAUCCUCGGAGGAUCGCAUGAUCUAUCGAGGAAAUACCUUUGUGCUGUGGGAUGGGCUCGCAACUUAUCAGCUAGUUGGUGGGGUAACGGCCUACCAAGGCGUCGACGAGUAGCUGGUCUGAGAGGACGAUCAGCCACACUGGGACUGAGACACGGCCCAGACUCCUACGGGAGGCAGCAGCAGGGAAUCUUGCGCAAUGGGCGAAAGCCUGACGCAGCAACGCCGCGUGGGGGAUGAAGGCCUUCGGGUUGUAAACCCCUUUCAGGAGGGAAGAAAUUGACGGUACCUCCAAAAGAAGCACCGGCCAACUACGUGCCAGCAGCCGCGGUAAUACGUAGGGUGCGAGCGUUAUCCGGAAUCAUUGGGCGUAAAGAGCUCGUAGGCGGUUCAGCAAGUCGGCUGUGAAAGUCCGAGGCUCAACCUCGGAAGUGCAGUCGAUACUGCUGUGACUCGAGUCCGGUAGAGGAGAAUGGAAUUCCCGGUGUAGCGGUGAAAUGCGCAGAUAUCGGGAGGAACACCAGUAGCGAAGGCGGUUCUCUGGGCCGGCACUGACGCUGAGGAGCGAAAGCGUGGGUAGCAAACAGGAUUAGAUACCCUGGUAGUCCACGCCGUAAACGUUGGAUACUAGGUGUGGCGUCCCGAUUAAUGGUCGCCGUGCCGAAGCUAACGCAUUAAGUAUCCCGCCUGGGGAGUACGGCCGCAAGGCUAAAACUCAAAGGAAUUGACGGGUCCCCGCACAAGCGGCGGAGCAUGCGGCUUAAUUCGAUGCAACCCGAAGAACCUUACCUGGGUUUGACAUCACGGGAAAAGCUGUAGAAAUACAGUGUCCUUUAGGGCCCGUGACAGGUGGUGCAUGGCUGUCGUCAGCUCGUGUCGUGAGAUGUUGGGUUAAGUCCCGCAACAAGCGCAACCCUUGUCCUAUGUUGCCAGCGGUUCGGCCGGGGACUCAUAGGAGACUGCCGGGAUAACUCGGAGGAAGGUGAGGACGACGUCAAGUCAUCAUGCCCCUUAUAUCCAGGGCUGCACGCAUGCUACAAUGGUCGGUACAACGGGCAGCGAUCU